UACGAAGGGGGCUAGCGUUGCUCGGAAUCACUGGGCGUAAAGCGCACGUAGGCGGAUUUUUAAGUCAGGGGUGAAAUCCUGGAGCUCAACUCCAGAACUGCCUCUGAUACUGGGAAUCUUGAGUCCGGGAGAGGUGAGUGGAACUGCGAGUGUAGAGGUGAAAUUCGUAGAUAUUCGCAAGAACACCAGUGGCGAAGGCGGCUCACUGGCCCGGUACUGACGCUGAGGUGCGAAAGCGUGGGAGCAAACAGGG
rnacentral:rRNA from 1 species